AUGCCCUUUUAAGGUUGUUGCAGUACUUGCUUUAAGAGGCUAACACAGAGGGUAAAAUAAGUCUUCAUAAAACCCAGAGAAGAUGAACAUUCCUCUCAGGAUUAUGUCUGGAGUCACAGUG
ensembl:snoRNA